rnacentral:rRNA from 1 species
UACGUAGGGUGCAGGCGUUGUCCGGAAUCAUUGGGCGUAAAGCGCGCGUAGGUGGCUUCGUAAGUCCGUUGUGAAAGUCAAAGGCUCAACCUUUGAAUGCCGAUGGAUACUGCGAAGCUAGAGUACGGAAGAGGCGAGUGGAAUUCCUGGUGUAGCGGUGGAAUGCGCAGAUAUCAGGAGGAACACCAAUUGCGAAGGCAGCUCGCUGGGACGUAACUGACGCUGAGACGCGAAAGCGUGGGGAGCAAACAGG